rnacentral:rRNA from 1 species
AGCGAACGCUGGCGGCAGGCUUAACACAUGCAAGUCGAGCGGGCGUAGCAAUACGUCAGCGGCAGACGGGUGAGUAACGCGUGGGAACAUACCUUUUGGUUCGGAACAACACAGGGAAACUUGUGCUAAUACCGGAUAAGCCCUUACGGGGAAAGAUUUAUCGCCGAAAGAUUGGCCCGCGUCUGAUUAGCUAGUUGGUGAGGUAACGGCUCACCAAGGCGACGAUCAGUAGCNGGUCUGAGAGGAUGAUCAGCCACU